rnacentral:rRNA from 1 species
GAAAGUAAGCAAGGGCAGACGGUGGAUGCCUUGGCUCUCGGAGGCGACGAAGGACGUGAUAAGCUGCGAAAAGCCCGGGGGAGGCGCAAAUAGCCCUUGAUCCCGGGAUAUCCGAAUGGGGCAACCCGGCAGGCUGAAGGCCUGCCAUCCCGAAAGGGAGGCGAACGUGGGGAACUGAAACAUCUAAGUACCCAUAGGAGGAGAAAAUAAACAAUGAUUCCGUAAGUAGUGGCGAGCGAACACGGAAGAGCCCAAACCCAUGUCGUCUAGGCGACACGGGGGUUGUAGGACCACGACGUGGCAAGAUAGAGUCAAGUGGAACGCCUUGGAAAAGGCGGUCAUAGAGGGUGAAAACCCCGUACACGACUGACGAUUGAAGCCUAGUGGCAUCCUGAGUAGCGCGGGGCACGAGAAAUCUUGCGUGAAUUAGCGGGGCCCAUCCCGUAAGGCUAAAUACUCCCGAGAGACCGAUAGCGAACCAGUACCGUGAGGGAAAGGUGAAAAGAACCCCGAGCAGGGGAGUGAAAUAGACCCUGAACCCGUCUGCCUACAAGCGGUCGGAGCGUCGUAAUGACGUGACGGCGUGCCUUUUGCAUAAUGAACCUACGAGUUACCUUCCCCGGCAAGGUUAAGUUCUUGAGGAACGGAGCCGAAGCGAAAGCGAGUCUGAACAGGGCGCCAAGUCGGGGGGGGUAGACGCGAAACCGAGUGAUCUACCCUUGGCCAGGUUGAAGGUUGGGUAACACCAACUGGAGGACCGGAUGGGUAAGCGUUGAAAAGCUUUCCAAUGAGCUGAGGGUAGGGGUGAAAGGCUAAUCAAACUCGGAGAUAGCUCGUACUCCCCGAAAUGCAUUUAGGUGCAGCCUCUUUAUAGUAUAUCGUGAGGUAGAGCGACUGAUUGGAUGCGAGGGCUUCACCGCCUAUCAAGUCCAGAUAAACUCCGAAUGCGCGAUAUAUAUUUACAGGGAGUGAGGGCGCGGGUGCUAAGGUCCGUGUCCGAGAGGAGAAGAAUCCAGACCACCGGCUAAGGCCCCCAAAUGAUCGUUAAGUUGAACUAACGAGGUCGGAUCGCAGAGACAGCUAGGAUGUUGGCUUGGAAGCAGCCAUUCAUUUAAAGAGUGCGUAACAGCUCACUAGUCGAGCGAUCUGGCGUGGAUAAUAAUCGGGCAUAAACGAUCUGCCGAAGCCGUGGAUGUCGCAAGACAUGGUAGGGGAGCAUUCCAUGCCGCGUCGAAGAUGAGGGAUGACCCUUGUUGGAGCGCAUGGAAAAGCAAAUGUAGGUAUGAGUAACGAUAAGGGGGGCGAGAAACCCCCCCGCCGAAAGACCAAGGUUUCCUGAUCAACGCUAAUCGGAUCAGGGUGAGUCGGGACCUAAGGCAAAGCCGAACGGCGCCGCCGAUGGAAGAAUGGGUUAAUAUUCCCAUACUGCCUCAUGGAGUGACGUGGAGACGGAGAAGUGACAGUCCUGCCGGCUGACGGAAUAGCCGGUUGAAGGGUGUAGAUAUUGAUUCCCGUAGGCAAAUCCGCGGGGAGAGUCGAACCUGAGAGUAUACGGAGCGCUUGCGCAACGUAAUAUGGACGUAACCAUGCUCCCGAGAAAAUCCGCUAAACUUAUCCAUGCGGCACCCGUACCGUAAACGGACACACGUGGUCGGGUUGAGAAUACUGAGGCGCUCGAGUGAUUCACGGUUAAGGAACUAGGCAAAUUGACCCUGUAACUUCGGGAUAAAGGGUCCUCGUCGUAAGGCGAGGCGCAGAGAAUAGGUCCAGGCAACUGUUUAACAAAAACACAUGGCUGUGCUAAAUGGAAACAUGAUGUAUACAGCCUGACACCUGCCCGGUGCCGGAAGGUUAAGAGGAGAUGUCAUCCGCGAGGAGAAGCGUUGAAUUGAAGCCCCGGUAAACGGCGGCCGUAACUAUAACGGUCCUAAGGUAGCGAAAUUCCUUGUCGGGUAAGUUCCGACCUG